rnacentral:lncRNA from 1 species
AAACAGAGAAAAACAGGGGAGAAAGAAAGGAAAGAAGAAAGAAAACGGGAAAUAAGGUUUAUGAAGCUUGGAGUUAAUUGCCAACAAAGAACCUGAAGCAUCAGCAUCGAAAGGAAAGGAGAAAGUCAUCGAGUACUAAAACGGGAGAAUUACGGUGUGUAUUACUAUAAUUCGAAUUUUAAUUAUUACUGAUUGCUGAAUUUUUUUUAUUGUUAUGUAUGGUAAGUAAGACUUGAGGUAAGUAUGUGAAAUUGAUAUGAAUAUUGAGUGAAAAUGAAAGUGAUGCAAAUUGAAUCAAAUUGAAUUGAAUAAGUGAAUUAUGGAAGAUGUAAUUAUUUAAAAAGCGUAUUGAUUAAAAAAUGAUUGGUGAUUUGAAUUGUGAAUUGAAAGUGAUAUAGGAUUGAGAAAGUGAAUUGAAUACCCUAUUAACUAGUCGGGCUGAGUCGGAUAUAGUUGGCAUGCCAUAGGAUUGGAAGUGUUCAGGGAUACUUCGACCUCGAGUCGAUGAGACACUGGGUGUCACUAUAUUUCUUCGGAUAGAUUCGAUGAGGUACUGGGUACCAACUUUACUUCGGCUAGGCCGAUGAGACACUGGGUGUCAACUAUUACUUCGAACUAUCCGAUGAGGCACUAGGUGCCAUAUUGGUGUGUUUGGUUGGAUCCGUGUAUCCGCCAAAGUCCGAGUUACGUUAAUAGGGUGAAAAAAUUGAAAUGUGAAUUUGAGGCAUUGAAACGAGAAAAAUAAAUUGAAUUACGAAUUGAAAUUGGAAUUGUGAUAAUAAGAGAAAAGUAUGAAAUGUAUAUUCAUAAGUGAUAUAAAUUUAAGUUUGAGAAAAUACAUUGAUUUAUGAAUUAGUACAUAUGACAUUAAUUGUUAGGUAUUUUAAUAUUUAUGUUUUUACUAUUGUUGAUAUAAUUUGAAUUAUGGUAAUAUCACUGAGUAUAUCCAUACUCAGCAUACGGUUGUUUCCGUGCGCAGGUUAGUAGAAGUCAAGUGUCCCGGUUCAGCAUCCAGAACAUUCCCGACUCCAACACAAAUUUGGUGAUGUAUAUUUUUCUUUUGGGUAAAGGUGGCAUGUACAUAGGUGUUAUAUAGUCACUUGAAUAUGCAUAUUACUUUGGGUAGUGAAGGUUGAAUUAUAAGAUUUAGAUGGUUAAAUGAAAUGGUAAGAAAAGUAUAUGAUAUUUUGAUACAUGAACAUUAAGUUGUUAAAUGAAUGAAGUUUUUAAUCAAUUUUGAAUGAUGCUAUGAUAGUUAUUAAGUUGAAAUUAUGUUAAUGAUAAAAAUAUUAGUUAUAUGAAUGUGAAAAAUUGGUGCUGGUUGUUUUAGUUUGAAUUUGCAGAAGGUUUUAGGUAAAAUAAGCAGACCGAAUUUUUUAUAAAAAAAAAAUUCAGAAUAUUCGAACAAGUUCCGUUCUACUUUUAACACGUGCUUGAACUUUGAGAGUUCAAGAUAGGGACUCAAUUAUUAUAUUAUACCAUAAAAGUUAUAUUAAUUGUAAAUUAUUAGUAAGUUGUCUGAUAUGUCCGGUAAUGCCUCAUAACCUCGUUUCGGUAACGGUUUGGGGUUAGGAUGUGUUACAAUUGUUGGUAUCAGAGCUAUCAGGUUUAGCCGAUUCUCGGGCUAAAUUGGGCUCGGAAGUGAGUUUAGAAGUACAUGCCACUGUCGAGUCGAAAUCGAGUCGGGAUUUCUGGAUGCUAAUGUAUUUAUUUGAUUUUUUUAUAGAUAAAAUGUCAGAUGAAAGAAUGGAUAAUGUUGAACAGGAAAUGUAUACUGGAAGUCGAGAAUUAGAAGAAACUGAAUCUGUUACACCUGGUGUGGAUCCGUUAAAUAAUCAAUCUCCUAACGUAGGGAGAGAAAGAAAUACCUCACAAGUGUUAAGAGAUAUAGCUGAUGCAUUACAGCAUAUAGUGAGAGCUAUACCUGCUACUACAUCUGUACCUACUGUCAGACAGGCCCCGAUUAAAGAGGUACGAAAAUAUGGUGCAACGGAAUUUCAGGGAUUAAAAGUAGCUGAUCCAUCCGUUGCUGAAAAUUGGAUAGAAACAACAAAAAGAGUUUUGCAACAAUUAGACUGCACCUCCCGAGAGAGUCUGAUAUAUGCUAUAUCACUGUUACAAGGAGAAGCGUAUCUCUGGUGGGAAUCUGUGGUUAGACAUUUACCGGAUGAUCAGGUAACUUGGGACUUGUUUCAAAAAGAAUUUCAGAAGAAGUAUAUUGGGGAAUUGUACAUCGAAGAGAAAAAGUAAGAGUUUUUAGUGUUGAAACAGGGGAAUAUGUCAGUACUGGAUUAUGAGCGAGAGUUCUCUAGAUUGAGCAGGUAUGCUUUAGAAUAUGUUCCAAUCGAGGCUGAUAGUUGUAAACGAUUUCUACGGGGACUACGAGAUGAAAUCAAGAUUCAAUUGGUAAGUCUCAAAAUUACUGAACUUGUUGAUCUGGUCGAGCGAGCAAAAAUGAUAGAACAAAUACUGGGCCUGGAUAAAAAAUCAGAAAUUGGUAAAUCAGCUGGGAAACGUAUGGGAACUACUAGUUUUAAUCCAUUACCGAAGAGAUUCAAAGAAUCAAGAAGUGACUGGAAAUCUAGUUUUAGUUCAGACAGAGGUGGUAGAAGCAGAGGUAAACAGAUGACAGUAACUACUAGCAGUGUGAGAGGUCCAUCUCGAGGUGUAGAAAUUCUAGACUGUGAGCACUGCGGAAAGAAACACAGAGGAGAAUGUUGGAAAGUAACUAGAGGUUGCUUUAGAUGUGGUUCUACAGACCAUUUUAUCAGAGACUGUCCGAAUACUGAUAGUGCUGCACCUGUAUCAUCACAAAGAUCAGUAUCUACUGCUAGAGGCAGAGGGUCAGGUAGAGGUAAUUCGGCUUCCAGAGGAGGUGCUGGUAGAAGGAGCAGUGAUAUUGCUACUCAGCAGUCUGAAGCCAAAGUACCAGCUAGAGCUUAUGUGGUCAGAAAACGAGAAGAAGGCGAUGCACAUGAUGUUGUUGCAGGUAUAUUUUUAUUGUAUUCUGAGCCUAUUUAUGCUUUAAUUGAUCCGGGUUCGUCACACUCUUAUAUAAAUUCAAAACUAGUCGAAUCGGGGAAAUUAGAAUCUGAAAUGUCUAAAGUUUCUAUAGAAGUGUCUAGCCCUUUCGGACAAACGAUGUUAGUAGAUAGAGUAUGUCAGAGGUGCCCGUUAAUAAUACAUGAUAAAAUGUUUCUUGUGGACUUGUUGAUCAUGCCUUUUGGUGAUUUUGAUAUCAUUUUGGGUAUGGACUGGCUAUAUGAACAUGGGGUAGUUUUGGAUUGCUAUAAAAAGGGGUUUAGUAUUCAGACAGAAAAUGGGGAUAGAAUUGAAGUGAAUGGCAUCCGUACCAGUGGUUCGACACGCAUUAUUUCAGCGAUGAAGGCUAAUAAAUUACUGCAGCAGGGUUGUCCAGCAUACUUGGCAUAUGUUAUUAAUUCUGAUUCAGUUGGGAGUCAGUGCAGUCAAAUUAGGAUUGUACGUGAGUUUCCAGAUGUAUUCCCAGAAGAAUUACCGAGUUUACCACCUGACAGAGAGGUUGAAUUUGCUAUUGAGGUGUAUCCAGGUACAACACUAAUUUCUAUACCUCCGUAUCGAAUGUCGCCCACUGAGUUGAAAGAGUUGAAGGUGCAGUUACAAGAUUUACUAGAUCGUGGAUUUAUUAGACCAAGCAUUUCACUCUAGGGAGCUCCAGUGUUGUUUGUUAAAAAGAAAGAUGGUUCUAUGCGGUUAUGCAUUGAUUAUCGACAGUUGAAUAAAGUGACGAUCAAGAACCGGUAUCCGUUGCCUCGUAUAGAGGAUUUGUUUGAUCAGCUUAAGGGAGCUUCAGUAUUUUAAAAAAUUGAUUUGAGAUCCAGGUAUUAUCAGCUAAAGGUAAAAGAAAGUGAUGUACCGAAGACAGCUUUCCGUACGAGGUAUGGCCAUUAUGAGUUUUUGGUAAUGCCAUUUGGGUUAACAAAUGCCCCAGCUGCUUUUAUGGAUCUCAUGAAUCAUAUCUUUCAGCCAUAUUUAGAUCAAUUUGUGGUGGUUUUUAUUGAUGAUAUAUUGGUUUAUUCAAAGUCAGAGUCAGAACAUGAUCGGCAUCUAAGGAUUGUGCUACAGACUUUACGAGAGAAACAACUAUAUGGAAAGCUCAGUAAAUGCGAGUUCUGGUUAUCAGAAGUGGUAUUUCUAGGACAUGUAGUAUCUGCAGAUGGAAUCCGAGUUGAUCCGAAAAAGAUUGAAGCAAUUGUUCAAUGGAAUGCACCGAUGAAUGUAUCUGAAGUACGUAGUUUUCUUGGUUUAGCUGGGUAUUACAGAAGAUUUGUAAAUGGAUUUUCAAAAAUAGCUUUGCCGAUGACCAAGUUGCUGCAGAAGAAUAUUCCUUUUAUUUGGGAUGAUCAGUGUUAGAAAAGUUUUGAAACAUUGAAGCGAAUGUUAACCAAGGCACCAAUUUUGACAUUGCCAGAAUCGGGUAAAUAUUUUGUAGUGUAUAGUGAUGCUUCUUUGAAUGGUUUGGGUUGCGUAUUGAUGCAGGAUGGGAAGGUAAUAGCCUAUGCAUCUCGUCAAUUGAAACCACAUGAAAGGAAUUAUCCCACUCAUGACCUUGAGUUAGCAGCUGUGAUUUUUGCAUUGAAAAUUUGGAGACAUUAUCUUUAUGGUGAAAAAUGCUACAUCUAUACUGAUCAUAAGAGUUUGAAGUAUCUUCUUUCUCAGAAGGAAUUGAAUUUGAGACAAAGGCGUUGGAUAGAGCUUCUGAAAGAUUAUUAUUGUGUUAUAGACUAUCAUCCGGGAAAAGCUAAUGUUGUAGCUGAUGCAUUAAGCAGAAAAGCUGUAAUUGAAUUAAGAGCAAUGUUUGCAUGGCUUAGUAUCAGUGAGGAUGGGAGUAUUUUGGCCGAAUUGAGAGUAAAACCGGUAAUGUUUGAUCAGAUUAGAUCAGCUCAGUUGGAGGAUAACAAAUUAUUGAAGAAAAGAGAGAUGGUACAGAAUGGCACAGUAGAAAAUUUUAGUAUUGAUGAUUGUGGAUGCUUGAGGUUUCAAAAUCAGAUUUGUAUUCCAAAUACUUCUGAGCUUAAAAAGUUGAUUCUACGAGAAGCUCAUGAUAGUUCAUUUGCUAUACACCCCGGAGGCACGAAAAUGUAUCGAGAUUUAAGAGAAUUAUACUGGUGGCCAGGGAUGAAAAGAGACAUAGUAGAAUUUGUAAGUAAAUGUUUGACUUGUCAACGGGUAAAGGUAGAACAUCAGGUUCCUACUGGAUUGCUUCAGCCUAUUAAUAUUCCUGAAUGGAAAUGGGAUCGUAUCUCGAUGGAUUUUAUUACGGGAUUACCGUUGUCAGCAAGCAAAAAGAAUGCUAUUUGGGUGAUAGUUGAUAGACUUACCAAGUCAGCACAUUUUAUAGCAGUCAGGACUGAUUGGUCGUUGCAGAAGCUUGCAGACGUGUAUAUUCGAGAAAUUGUUAGACUACAUGGCAUUCCGAUAUCAAUAAUUUCAGAUCGAGAUCCUCGGUUCACAUCGAGAUUUUGGAGACAGUUACAUGAGUCGUUGGGUACUAGACUUAGUUUCAGUACAGCUUUUCAUCCCCAAACUGACGGACAGUCCGAACGGGUAAUUCAGGUACUAGAAGAUAUGCUUCGAGCUUGUAUUAUUAAGUUUGAAGCAGGUUGGGAGCGAUAUUUGCCACUAGCUGAGUUUGUCUAUAAUAAUAGUUUCCAAUCUAGUAUUCAGAUGGCUCCGUAUGAAGCGUUAUAUGGUCGAAAAUGUAGAUCACCAGUAUGUUGGACGGAGUUGAAUGAAAGAAAAAUAAUUGGGCCGGAAUUGAUUCGUGAAACAGAAGAAACAGUCAAGAAGAUUCAACAGAGAUUAAAAGCAACUUUUGACAGACAAAAAUCUUAUGCUGAUCUGAAACGUCGGGACAUUGAAUAUUCAGUUGGAGAUAAAGUGUUUCUCAAAGUUUCUCCUUGGAAGAAAGUAUUAAGAUUUGGCCGAAAAGGAAAGUUAAGUCCUCGGUUUAUCGGACCAUAUGAAGUUAUAGAGAGAGUUGGACCAGUUGCUUACCGAUUAGCUUUACCUCCGGAAUUACAACAAAUUCAUGAUGUUUUUCAUGUUUCCAUGUUACGAAGGUAUCGAUCGGAUCCAUCUCAUAUUAUCUCUACUGAAAACAUUGAUAUUAGACCAGAUCUGUUAUAUGAAGAGGAACCAGUUCAAAUACUAGCUCGAGAAGUGAAAGAAUUAAGAAACAAACGAGUCCCUCUGGUAAAAGUACUGUGGAGAAGCCAUAGUGUAGAAGAAGCAACGUGAGAGCCAGAGGAAACUAUGAGAUCGCAGUAUCCUCACUUAUUUUCAGGUAAAAUUUCGAGGACGAAAUUUUUUUAAGGGGGGAGGAAAUGUAACAACCCAAAAUCUGUGGGCACCAGAAAAGUGUGUUAUCGGGCCUCCGUCUUAGUGAAAUAAGUUCGAAAAUAAUUAUUAAAAAUAUUUAUGAGUCUAGUAGUGUGUUUAAUUAGGUUUUAAUUAAGUAAAUUUAGCUUAAUUUAGAGUAAUUAGUAAAAAGGAUUAAAUUGAAUAAGAGUAAAAGUUUAAUUAUAGAUUAAAGAAAAAUUAGAAGGACUUAAGAGGAAAUUAAACUAUUUCCUAUAGCUGAGGCAGUUUAACGUGGAAAAUAUCAAAUAUUUUAUUGAUUAAAAAAAUAUAUAUUUAUUUAAUAAUUAAGUAUAUUAUAUUAUAUUAUAUUAUAUUAUAUUAUUAUAUAUAAAAGAAACAAAUAAGUUAAAAGAAAUAGAAUGAAAGCAAACGAAACAGAGAAGAACAGGGGAGAAAGAAAGGAAAGAAGAAAGAAAAGGGGAAAUAAGGUUUAUGAAGCUUGGAGUUAAUUGCCAACAAAGAACCUGAAGCAUCAGCAUCGAAAGGAAAGGAGAAAGUCAUCGAGUACUAAAACGGGAGAAUUACGGUGUGUAUUACUAUAAUUCGAAUUUUAAUUAUUACUGAUUGCUGAAUUUUUUUUUAUUGUUAUGUAUGGUAAGUAAGACUUGAGGUAAGUAUGUGAAAUUGAUAUGAAUAUUGAGUGAAAAUGAAAAUGAUGCAAAUUGAAUCAAAUUGAAUUGAAUAAGUGAAUUAUGGAAGAUGUAAUUAUUUGAAAAGCGUAUUGAUUGAAAAAUGAUUGGUGAUUUGAAUUGUGAAUUGAAAGUGAUAUAGGAUUGAGAAAGUGAAUUGAAUACCCUAUUAACUAGUCGGGCUGAGUCGGAUAUAGUUGGCAUGCCAUAGGAUUGGAAGUGUUCAGGGAUACUUCGACCUCGAGUCGAUGAGACACUGGGUGUCACUAUAUUUCUUCGGAUAGAUUCGAUGAGGUACUGGGUACCAACUUUACUUCGGCUAGGCCGAUGAGACACUGGGUGUCAACUAUUACUUCAAACUAUCCGAUGAGGCACUGGGUGCCAUAUUGAUGUGUUUGGUUGGAUCCGUGUAUCCGCCAAAGUCCGAGUUACGUUAAUAGGGUGAAAAAAUUAAAAUGUGAAUUUGAGGCAUUGAAAUGAGAAAAAUAAAUUGAAUUACGAAUUGAAAUUGGAAUUUUGAUAAUAAGAGAAAAGUAUGAAAUGUAUAUUCAUAAGUGAUAUAAAUUUAAGUUUGAGAAAAUACAUUGAUUUAUGAAUUAGUACAUAUGACAUUAAUUGUUAGGUAUUUUAAUAUUUAUGUUUUUACUAUUGUUGAUAUAAUUUGAAUUAUGGUAAUAUCACUGAGUAUAUCCAUACUCAGCGUACGGUUGUUUCCGUGCGCAGGUUAGUAGAAGUCAAGUGUCCCGGUUCAGCAUCCAGAAUAUUCCCGACUCCAACACAAAUUUGGUGAUGUAUAUUUUUCUUUUGGGUAAAGGUGGCAUGUACAUAGGUGUUAUAUAGUCACUUGAAUAUGCAUAUUACUUUGGGUAGUGAAGGUUGAAUUAUAAGAUUUAGAUGGUUAAAUGAAAUGGUAAGAAAAGUAUAUGAUAUUUUGAUACAUGAACAUUAAGUUGUUAAAUGAAUGAAGUUUUUAAUCAAUUUUGAAUGAUGCUAUGAUAGUU